AUGAGUACUAUAUCCUUUGACAAUUAUAAGGCAGCUGAAGAAGUAGGGGCAUUGAGGAAUGAAGGAUACCUCCAAAUUUUUAUAUUAAUAGGUACUGUCAUUUUUGUACUCCUCAAUACUAUAUUUAGAGAUGAAAAAAUAAAAAAAAUUGAGGAUAAAAUAAAACAAAAUGAGGAGAAAAUAAAACAAAAUGAGGAGAAAAUAAAACAAAAUGAGGAUAAAAUAGAAAAUAUUGAGGAUAAAAUAGAAAAUGUUGAGGAUAAAAUAGAAAAAAUUGAGGAUACAAUAGAAAAAAUUGAGGAUAAAAUAGGAAAUAUUGAGAAUAAAAUAGAAAAAAUUGAGGAUAAAAUAGGAAAUAUUGAGAAUAAAAUAGGAAAUAUUGAGGAUAAAAUGGGAAAUAUGGAAGAUAAAAUAGGAAAAAUUGAGGAUAAAAUGCAAGCCCAAUUAGAAGAUCUAAAAAGUUUCUUACAGGAUCAAUUGACAAACAACCACUCUACCAGAAAUAGACCUGUUUCUGAACCUUUGAAUGAGGAAAUUUCCUUCCCUGAAAUAGAGAUGGAAAAUACCUUUCCUAUAGCCAAGUUAACAGACUGCUUCUCUCGUGUAGUGCAAAUCUUGUCUGAAUUUAAUCCCCAAAACCCUUCCCCGGCAAUCCCAGAUUCUCAUGUUCCUUCUCCUACAGAAAACCAAAUUCCAAUGCAAGAGAGAUCUUGUCCCCCUAGAAAAAUCUGUCCUUGUCAAACUGACCCACAGGUGCAAAAUCCAACUAGAGGCCUGUUUCCUCUAAGAGAAGUACCUGAAAUAGGACGAAAUGGGGAUGUGGUGACUUUAAGACAUAGGAUACCGUUUACUCCCCAAGAAAUAAAUGAAUUUACACGAAAUAUUCCCACAUAUGAACAAGAUCCUUUUCUAGUAACAAAAAAGAUGGGAGACAUAUUUUUUCAGUAUAAUCCGUCUUACAAGGACGUUGAGAGCUUACUCCAGGCUUUUUUAAGUGAACGUGAAAAAAAUAAAAUAAUUGCUCAUGUCAACAAAACCAGGGGGCGUAAUGCAGCACAUUGGCCAUCUCAGGAUCCCGAAUGGGACUAUAACAAUCCUGAGGAUUAUCUACAACUAUACCGUUGUAGAGAGGCCAUCCUCACGUCCAUGAAGGAAUGUGCGGACAGUACAGAUAAGUGGAUGGAACUGGAAAAAAUUAAGCAAAAGGAAAAUGAAACACCCUCCAGAUUUAUGGACAGAAUUAUCGAGUUUGGGGACAGAUACUUAGAUUGGGACUUAACUAAAGAGAGUAGUAUAAGACAAGCUAGAAGAAUCUUUGUAAACAAUUCUUGCAAAGCAAUUAAAAAUUAUUUCAAAACACAAUGCCCAAGAUGGUCAGAUAUGGACCUUGAAGAAUUGCGAAAAACAGCUAUAUAUGUUUUAAAGGGAAACGAAGAAAAGGAGAAAGAAAAUGAUGAUGACAUGGAGGAAAUGAAGAAAAAAAUGAGAUAUUUAAUAGAUAGGAUAACUAAAUUAGAAAGUGGGCAGGGUAAUGAACCAACGACAAUUGCCCCUCUCCAGAAAUCCAAUUAUCAAUCCAUUACUUGCCACUUCUGUGAGAAGAAGGGCCACAAAAUGAUGGAAUGUAGAACCUUUCUUAAGAUGUUUGGAAGGAAUACACAGUUUAAUAAUAGUUUUAGAAAUAAUAACUAUAAUGAAUAUAGAAAUAAGAACUUUAGAAACCAGAAUUAUAGAAAUAGGAAUUGGGAAAUUAAUGACAAUGCUCAAAUUGAAGAAAAUUUUAAUGAUAAUACUCAACAAUAUAUGAGAAAUGGCGCUCGUCCAAAAAUUACUCGAGGUACUAAUGACUCUCAGAGAGGU
ensembl:lncRNA